rnacentral:RNase_P_RNA from 2 species
AGGGCUGGCCGGGCGACCGCGUUGUCGUCUUCGGACGGCACCGAGGAAGGUCCGGGCUCCACAGGGCAAGGUGGUGGGUAACACCCACCCGGGGCAACCCGCGGGACAGUGCCACAGAGAACAGACCGCCUGCACCGAGCUUCGGCGAGGCGCAGGUAAGGGUGAAACGGUGGAGUAAGAGACCACCAGCGACCGGGGUGACCCGGCCGGCUCGGCAAACCCCACCUGGAGCAAGAUCAAGAAGUCCCGUGCUUGCACGGGACGCGCGUGCGUUCGAGGGCGGCCCGCCCGAGUACGCGGGUAGAUCGCUGGAGGGUGUCGGCAACGGCACUCGUAGAUGGAUGGUCGCCCCCCGGCUCGCCGGGGACAGAACCCGGCCUACAGGCCAGCCCUUCCG